rnacentral:lncRNA from 1 species
UCGAAAAUCUGAUAUCACAAAUGUUGGUCUGAAUUUGAGAAUGUUCUUGAGGAAUCCAGUUAUAAGUUCUUUGCUUCUAUGCAUUUUGACUCCAUUCCAGCUAGAGUCAGAAACCAUGAUGGUUGCAACACCCUUCCUAACUGCAUCAUAAUAAGGCGGCAUAUGAAUGCUCAACAAACCAUGAAAAUCUAUGACUAUAUCGUUCUCGUUGAUGCCUCUUGUCGUUCCACCAUCGCCAACAAAGUGUCUGGC